GGCUUCUUUGUUGGUCUUUUUCUAUUUUCUAUCUAGGUGAUAAUCUCAAAUAUGCAGCUCCCUAGCAAAGUGUUCAGAUGCAUUGUUUUUCUUUAAGAGACACAACAGAUGAAAUUACAUUACCGAAUACACUUUUAUAUUUGCACUUGAUUCAGAUCUUGCAUCUGUUAAGAUAAUUCCACUGGCCAGAUUCGUUAGAAG
rnacentral:lncRNA from 1 species